CAACAAGGCCUUUACUGACGCUAAAGCUCGAAGGUGCGGGUAUCGAACAGGAUUAGAUACCCUGGUAGUCCGCACGGUAAACGAUGGAUGCCCGCUGUUUGCGAUAUACUGUGAGCGGCCAAGAGAAAUCGUUAAGCAUCCCACCUGGGGAGUACGCCGGCAACGGUGAAACUCAAAGGAAUUGACGGGGGCCCGCACAAGCGGAGGAACAUGUGGUUUAAUUCGAUGAUACGCGAGGAACCUUACCCGGGCUUGAACUGCCAGCGAACGAUUCAGAGAUGAUGAGGUCCUUCGGGACGCUGGUGGAGGUGCUGCAUGGUUGUCGUCAGCUCGUGCCGUGAGGUGUCGGCUUAAGUGCCAUAACGAGCGCAACCCUUUUCUUUAGUUGCCAUCAGGUAAUGCUGGGCACUCUGGAGAUACUGCCACCGUAAGGUGUGAGGAAGGUGGGGAUGACGUCAAAUCAGCACGGCCCUUACGUCCGGGGCUACACACGUGUUACAAUGGGAGGUACAGAGAGUCGGUCAGUGGCAAUGCUGAUCUAAUCCUAAAAGCCUUCCUCAGUUCGGAUUGGGGUCUGCAACCCGACCCCAUGAAGCUGGA
rnacentral:rRNA from 1 species